rnacentral:rRNA from 1 species
AUUCCGAAGGGCAUGCCUGUUGAGUAUCAUGAACACCUCAACUCUCACGGUUCGCCGCGAUGAGCUUGGACUUUGGGGGUUUGCUGGCCUAUGGUCAACUCCUCUUAAAUGGAUCAGCUUGCCAGUGUUUGGUAGCGUCGCAGGUGUGAUAACUAUCUACGCUUGUGGUUGCUGCCAGGUAACCUUCAGUGAUGGAGGUUCUCUGGAGCUCAUAAACGUCUCUCCUCAGUGAAGACAGCUUUUGAACGUUCGAUCUCAAAUCAGGUAGGACUACCCGCUGAACUUAAGCAUAUCAAUAAGCGGAGG